rnacentral:rRNA from 1 species
AUUGAACGCUGGCGGCAUGCCUUACACAUGCAAGUCGAACGGCAGCACGGGAGCAAUCCUGGUGGCGAGUGGCGAACGGGUGAGUGAAGUAUCGGAACGAGCCCAGUCGUGGGGGAUAACGUAGCGAAAGUUACGCUAAUACCGCAUACGAUCUAUGGCUGAAAGCGGGGGAUCGCAAGACCUCGCGCGAUGGGAGCGGCCGAUAUCAGAUUAGGUAGUUGGUGGGGUAAAGGCUCACCAAGCCGACGAUCUGUAGCUGGUCUGAGAGGACGACCAGCCACACUGGGACUGAGACACGGCCCAGACUCCUACGGGAGGCAGCAGUGGGGAAUUUUGGACAAUGGGCGAAAGCCUGAUCCAGCCAUGCCGCGUGCAGGAUGAAGGCCUUCGGGUUGUAAACUGCUUUUGUACGGAACGAAAAGGUUUGGGCUAAUAAGCUGAGCUCAUGACGGUACCGUAAGAAUAAGCACCGGCUAACUACGUGCCAGCAGCCGCGGUAA